GGGCGCAUAGCUCAGCGGUAGAGCGCUGCCCUUACAAGGCAGAUGUCGCUGGUUCGAACCCAGCUGUGCCCA
rnacentral:tRNA from 1 species